UACGUAGGGGGCAAGCGUUGUCCGGAUUUAUUGGGCGUAAAGAGCGUGUAGGCGGCCAUGUAGGUCCGUUGUGAAAACUCGAGGCUCAACCUCGAGACGCCGAUGGAAACCAUGUGGCUAGAGUCCGGAAGAGGAGAGUGGAAUUCCUGGUGUAGCGGUGAAAUGCGCAGAUAUCAGGAGGAACACCGGUGGCGAAGGCGGGUCUCUGGGCAACAACUGACGCUGAGGAGCGAAAGCGUGGGGAGCGAACAGG
rnacentral:rRNA from 1 species